GUACAAGACAAUCGUCGACAGACCAUACAAUCACUAAAGAGUCGUCUUGUAAGUAAAAAGAAGGCAUGCCUUCCGACAUUUAAUAUUUCAUUUAUUUUAGAACUUGCAGACAUUUAUAAAAUUUAAACGAACGUAAGUGUCAGUCAUGCCUUCAUCUUAUGAACUUGAAUGCCCGCCGGAAGAAGACGAUUCAGAUGAAGAAGAGGCCAUUGAAAGAUCAAAUGCAAGUGAUGAAGAGGAUUCCGACUUUCAGGUCUAGGAUCUUCUAACCCCUCAAUUUAUAAAAACCGACUAUGAGAGGUUGUGGAAUUGUAAAUAGUACAAUAUUUCGAAAAAAAAUAUUGUUGGUUAAUGAAAACGUAUUUUUUGAAAUAUAGUUUGAAAUAGUUUUGAUUAUUAUAGAUCCAAAGCUGUUACAGGAAUGAUUUCAUCCCGUACGUGAGAAUGGUUAAGGUUGAAGAUGUAGGAUCGAGAUCCGAGGCUAUAAGGGGGGAUAAUAGCCUCUUUUCGAUUUAUGCAGAUUAAUAGCGGAAUUACCUGCACACACUUAAGUACACAAAUGGUUGUAUAAUAAUAAUAGUAUAAUAUUGUUAGCAAUAUAAUACUAUUAUAUGAUUUUAAAGAAU
rnacentral:lncRNA from 1 species